CGGUUGGCUUAACACAUGCAAGUCGAACGGUAAGGUCUCGCUUGCGAGGCUGACGACCGGCGCACGGGUGAGUAACGCGUAUGCAACCUACCCAUAACUGGGGGAUAGCUUCCGGAAACGGAAAUUAAUACCCCAUAGUAUUAUAAUACCGCAUGGUAUAAUAAUUAAAGUUCCGACGGUUAUGGAUGGGCAUGCGUGCCAUUAGUUUGUUGGGGAGGUAACGGCUCACCAAGGCUAUGAUGGCUAGGGGGUCUUAAAGGAUGAUCAGCCACACUGGGACUGAGACACGGCCCAGACUCCUACGGGAGGCAGCAGUGGGGAAUAUUGGACAAUGGGCGCAAGCCUGAACCAGCCAUGCCGCGUGCAGGAAGACGGCCCUAUGGGUUGUAAACUGCUUUUAUAUAGGAAGAAAAUGUUCUACGUGUAGAGCACUGACGGUACUAUAAGAAUAAGCAUCGGCUAACUCCGUGCCAGCAGCCGCGGUAAUACGGAGGAUGCAAGCGUUAUCCGGAUUUAUUAGGUUUAAAGGGUACGUAGGCGGAUUAAUAAGUUAGUGGUGAAAUCCUGCGGCUCAACCGUAGAACUGCCAUUAAUACUGUUAAUCUUGAAUACAGUUGAAGUAGGCGGAAUGUAUCAAGUAGCGGUGAAAUGCAUAGAUAUGAUACAGAACACCAAUUGCGUAGGCAGCUUACUAAACUGAUAUUGACGCUAAGGUACGAAAGCGUGGGGAGCAAACAGGAUUAGAUACCCUGGUAGUCCACGCCGUAAACGAUGAUCACUAGUUGUGUGCGAUAAAAUGUACGUGACUGAGAGAAAUCAUUAAGUGAUCCACCUGGGGAGUACGUUAGCAAUAAUGAAACUCAAAGGAAUUGACGGGGGCCCGCACAAGCGGAGGAACAUGUGGUUUAAUUCGAUGAUACGCGAGGAACCUUACCUGGGCUUAAAUGGGAGGCGCUUUCGGGCGUAGUCCUUCGAAAGGAGGCUUAAACUUUCAAGGUGCUGCAUGGUUGUCGUCAGCUCGUGCCGUGAGGUGUCGGGUUAAGUCCCAUAACGAGCGCAACCCCUAUUUCUAGUUGCCAUCAGGUCAUGCUGGGGACUCUAGAGAGACUGCCAUCGUAAGAUGUGAGGAAGGUGGGGAUGACGUCAAAUCAGCACGGCCCUUAUGUCCAGGGCUACACACGUGUUACAAUGGUCUAUACAAAGGGCAGCUACUUGGUGACAAGAUGCUAAUCUCUAAAAUAGGCCUCAGUUCGGAUUGGAGUCUGCAAUUCGACUCCAUGAAGGCGGAUUCGCUAGUAAUCGGAUAUCAGCAAUGAUCCGGUGAAUACGUUCCCGGGCCUUGUACACACCGCCCGUCAAGCCAUGGAAGCUGGGGGUACCUGAAGUCUGUGACCGUUAAGGAGCGGCC
rnacentral:rRNA from 1 species